rnacentral:rRNA from 1 species
AUUGAACGCUAGCGGGAUGCUUUACACCUGCAAGUAGAACAAGUGGCGGACGUGUGAGUAAGAGAUAGGAGCGUGCCCAGUAGCGGGGGAUAACUACUCGAAAGAGUGUCUAAUACCGCAUACCAUUAGAGAGGCCGAUAUGGGAUUAGCUAGUUGGUGGGGUAAAGGCUCACCAAGGCAACGAUCCGUAGCUGGUUUGAGAGGACGACAAGACACACUGGGAAUGAGACAAGGCACAAACUCCUACGGGAGGCAGCAGUGGGGAAUUUUGUACAAUGGGGGAAACCCUGAUCCAGCCAUCCCGCGUGUAUGAGAAGGCCUUCGGGGUGUAAAGUACUUUUGGCAGAGAAGCGGUAUCUGCAGAAUAAGCACCGGCUAACUACGUGCCAGCAGCCGCGGUAAUUC